rfam:Hydrogenibacillus schlegelii strain DSM 2000 scaffold135, whole genome shotgun sequence.
UCCGCAGUAGCUCAACGGUAGAGCAUCCGGCUGUUAACCGGAGGGUUGCAGGUUCGAAUCCUGCCUGCGGAG